rnacentral:rRNA from 1 species
CCGGGGUGAAUACGUUCCCGGGCCUUGUACACACCGCCCGUCACACCACGAAAGUCGGCAACACCCGAAGCCGGUGGCCUAACCCGUAAGGGGAGGGGCCGUCGAAGGUGGGGUCGGUGAUUGGGGUG